rnacentral:rRNA from 1 species
UACGGGGGGGGCAAGCGUUGUUCGGAAUUACUGGGCGUAAAGGGCUCGUAGGCGGCCAACUAAGUCAGACGUGAAAUCCCUCGGCUUAACCGGGGAGCUGCGUCUGAUACUGGAUGGCUUGAGUCCGGGAGAGGGAUGCGGAAUUCCAGGUGUAGCGGUGAAAUGCGUAGAUAUCAGAAGGAACAUCAGUGGCGAAGGCGGCUUUCUGGACCAAUACUGACGAUCAGGUGCGAAAGCGUGGGGAGCAAACAGG